ACGAACGCUGGCGGCGUGCUUCACCCAUGCCAGUCGCACGGAAAGGCCCUGCUUGCAGGGUACUCGAGUGGCGAACGGGUGAGUAACACGUGGGUGAUCUGCCCUGCACUUCGGGAUAAGCCUGGGAAACUGGGUCUAAUACCGGAUAGGAGCCAUUUUUAGUGUGAUGGUUGGAAAGUUUUUUCGGUGUAGGAUGAGCUCGCGGCCUAUCAGCUUGUUGGUGGGGUAAUGGCCUACCAAGGCGGCGACGGGUAGCCGGCCUGAGAGGGUGGACGGCCACAUUGGGACUGAGAUACGGCCCAGACUCCUACGGGAGGCAGCAGUGGGGAAUAUUGCACAAUGGGCGCAAGCCUGAUGCAGCGACGCCGCGUGGGGGAUGACGGCCUUCGGGUUGUAAACUCCUUUCGCUAGGGACGAAGCUUUUUGUGACGGUACCUAGAUAAGAAGCACCGGCUAACUACGUG
rnacentral:rRNA from 1 species